GCAAAAACACAUUUCAAUGACCACAGACAAAAUGAGUUCAUCCUCAUGUGUCUAGACAUGUAAGAACUGUUGGUAUAUUGUAUGUGCAUACAACCUCCUGAUGAACAGUACCAGAUCUGCAGGCAGCCCUCACUGCUCUCAUAUAUGGAAAACAAAAUACUUGGCGCUGGUCCACAGACAACACUGAGGCCCAUUAUCUUCUGCAGGCUCGCUAAGGCAGCUUUAAACGGGACGUUCAUGCAGGCCUCUCAGGCUGACCGGCUAUUACGGCAGAGAACUCAAAUAUACCACUUUUUUGAAACGAAAAACCUUUCCUUGAAGCUUUCAGUGUGGAUAAAGGGAUUAAUCAAUGAAGUUAAAGAUAAGGGCUGCAGUGGAGCAUCUUGUGCCCUGAAACACUGUGUACCACUCAUCUCUUCCUCACUGCCCUACAGCCAGCAUGUCCAACGAGUUCCUUUUCCAGUGUUGCACGGUAUACAGAUGUACCCUGCUGUUAAACGGUACGAUAGCCAUUUUAUUAGUACAGAUAAUGAUUUUAAUAGC
ensembl:lncRNA